GUCUAUAGUCAUACCACCCUGAACGCACGCAAUCUCAUCUGAUCUCAGAAGCUCAGCAGGAUCAGGCCUGGUUAGAACUUGGAUGGAAGACCACCUGACACCAGGUGCUGUAUGUU
rnacentral:rRNA from 1 species